CUUUUUGUGUGCUAGACUUGAGUGCAAAAUAAAUUUAUCCUAUUAGUAAAGUAAAUGUUCUAAAUUGAAACUUCAACAUCUUCUCCAUUUUUACUUAAAAAAAAUUAUGAAAUUUCAAGUUGUAACUACCCUUAUAGACUAUCAAAUAAUCGCAGUCUCACUUUUUUUAAUUACAUCACCCAAUCCAAUCCGUUAUAAAAAUAGUAGUGAGUGAUUGUGGAAAUGGGAGUUAUAUAGUUGUAAGCUUCACAACCCAACCCGUGGGCUAAACGUCAACUCGGAUUUCCCGUAUGUGUAAAAUCCCAGAAAUCCUGUGAAAACAAGAUCACGUGAGAAAAACACCAGUAUAUUGUUCAUAGUAUUCAUAUCUGUUUCAUCAUAAAAUUGUUUUAAAUUAAAAAUAUAUAGAGCAUAAAUAUGUUAAAAUUGUGGAAGUCCUCGCGAGCAUUUCUUUAAAAAAAGUAUAUGUUGGUAACCUCCAGAGCAUUAGUCUGCUCAAUAAAUCCUAAACACGCUGCCGCUCCCACUCAGUUACUCAUUUUGUGAGCGCGCUCAAUCCUUUUCCUUUUUUUUAAACAAUAAGCAGCGCUCCUUCUUUGCAACGAUAGAGCAUUUGAAAACUCUUUAUGAUUGCAAUUAAUUUUCUGAAAUUUAUGUAUAUUAUUUAUUCCAAAAAGGAAUAGAAAUAAGGUAAAAAAAUAAAUAAAUAAUACAUUAAUAGGAAAAAUGGGUGAAAUAUAAUUACUGUUAAACUUUCAAUUUAGAAUAUUUACUUUACUAACAUGACAGAUUUAUUUUGCACUCCUGCCAAAAUAAACGCAGACAAAAAAAAAGAUAUUUUGCCGAUACAGUUUCCCGGAUUGAUUAGGUCCAAAGUUAUAGGCCAAGUUCCAAAACAAAGAUCCCUUGACCAAUAUUUAUCCAAAACUAUUUAACCCCAAUAAGUUCACACUUUUUAUGAAAUAACUUCAUCUGCUUUGAAUCACUCAAACAACGAAUAAAAGUAACAAUUAAUACAAAUAUAAAUAUUUAUUUCGUAAAAGGAUUAAAAAAAAUUUUGAAUCUGAACAAUAUUUAACUUUUUACUUGUGAUGUAAAAAAUACGAAUUAGUAUAUUUUUUUCAGUUUUUCCAUAUUUUGGAGGACGUAAGAAACGGAUAUUAUUUGCCAAAUAUUAACAACUUUAUUAUUUAUUUAUCUUUUCAGCUGUAGAUUUUUCAAUUUUUUUAAAUUUCCUGACUUAAAACAACUUUUUUUUAAAUGAUCAUGUUUUUUUUACAAAAUGAAAUGUUUGAACCUUAUUUCUUUUAAAGCUAUAUAUAUAUAUUUUUUUUUCAUAUUGCCUCCCACUAAAAUAUGACGCCCAUUGAAAAUAUUCAACACAUGAGGGGCAUCUUCGACACCCAGGAUAGUUAUUUUUGUCUCAGCCUAAGCUUCUAGGGAACCAAGUGUAAAGCGCCCGAAAUCAUUGCAAUCAGCUGGAAAAGUUAUGGCCUCAGAUGGAGAUGUGCAAGGUCAGCCACAAGAGCAUCCCGGCUCUGAAGGGCUCCAUUACAAGGGAGUGGAAUACUGUCGAUUCCGCAGAAGUCAUCAGGGCAUGCAAAUCCUUUAGGGCCAGGAUGGAGAAGAUGGGGGCUGCUGAGGGCGGACAUGUUGAAUAAAUUUAUUGUUUAAUAUCAAGUCUAACUUUUUCAUAUUAACAA
rnacentral:lncRNA from 1 species